AAUAUAUAUAUAUAUAUACAUUCGGAGUCCGGUUAUGAUACUUGUAAGUUUUCUGUCAUUAGAUUUACUUUUUUGAUUAUUUUCAUCCAUUAUAUUAUACUAUUCAAGCAAUCAUCCACUUAAUUCUAAAUUGUCAAUAUCAUUCUAACUGCAUAUUUCUUAAUUCAAGAACCAAAAGCCUAUAAGCAUCAAUAACUUAAUAUUUUUCAAAUCACUAAACCUUU
rnacentral:lncRNA from 1 species